rnacentral:rRNA from 1 species
UGACGUGGAUGCUAGUCUCAUAGGUUAAGCCAUGCAUGUGGAAGCGAAGCCUUUUAUGGUGGAGCGGCAUACGGCUCAGUAACGGGCGAUCGAUUUGAUCUGCCUAUACGGACAUCCUCUGUAAACGGAGGGUAAGACGUAAGGGGGGCUUCCUUACGGAAGUUCGCCAAACCUGUAAAGGUGAGGCAAAGUAAGAAGCCAUCCCAUCAGUUAUUAAGUAGGGUAAGGGCCUACUUAGACGAAGACGGGUACGGGGAAUUAUCGUUUGAUUCCGGAGAGGGAGCCUGAGAGACGGCUACCGGGUCCAAGGACAACAGCAGGCGCGAAAAUUACCGCAGCCUGCGAUCAGGGCGGUAGUAAGGAGACGUGAUGACGAAGUGCUGAUAAAAGCUGCACUAGUGACAGGAGGAAAAGACUGGUGCCAGCACCCGCGGUAAUACCAGCUCCUGGAGUGUCUAUGAUGAUUGCUGCAGUUAAAGAGUUCGUAGCCGAGGCAUUAUUUAACUGCGUUAAAGGGGAUAUCUCAAUUAUCCCUGUGCGCAGUGAUUUUGCAGAAUAAGGAGUGCUUAGGGGCCAGAGUAUCAUACGGCGACUGGUGAAAUGGGAUGACCCGUGUGGGAGUAACAGAGGCGAAAGCGCUGGUCAGGGGCGAGUCCGAUGGUAAAGGACGUAGGCUAGAGGAUCGAAGACGAUUAGAGACCGUUGUAGUUCUAGCAGUAAACGAUGCCGAUGUCGUGGUGCCGAAUAAUGGCGAUGCGAAAGAGAAAUCGAGUAGGGCCCUGGGGAGAGUACACGCGCAAGCGAGAAAUUUAAAGGAAAUUGACGGAAGAACACCACAAGGAGUGGAGUGUGCGGCUUAAUUUGACUCAACGCGGGACAACUUACCGGGCCCGACGACCGUAUGAGUGUAACACACGAUAGGUCGAAGAGUGGUGCAUGGCCGUUAACGAC